CAAGAUAUAGCUUAACUAAAGCAUCUCGCUUACACCGAGAACAUGCCCGUGUGACCCGAGCUAUUUUGA
rnacentral:tRNA from 1 species